GCCUAUGGGUAUCCAUCUUGCUGGUGGCUACCUAAGCAGGGUUCCACUGCUUUGUACCUGAUGCUAUUCUCUCUGAGGAGAGAUGAGAUUACAACCAACUACCUCCUAAUUUCUGUUCCAGGUGCUCAGUUCUGCUUUCCAUAUUCUGAAUAAGAUAAUGCUUCAAUAACCUCAGCAACUCUAUACAAUUAAAAAACACUGCAAUGUUCAGCUUCUCAUGGGAAAACUGGUGAAAGGAGGAUAAAGACCCAGUGAAGAUCUUGACAAGGAUUUUGGCAAGAAGAUUGAGCAAGACAAAGAUUUAUUGCUUCCAGGAAAGAACAGUGACAGCUCUCACUUUUGCCUCCCACCUUGGAGUUUGGAGUGAUGUGGGGGCACUGAAAGAGAAAGUAAACUGCAUAAUGGUACAUGAAGUGGUUGAGCUACAUCUACCUGAGCAAAAUUUUGACCAAGACUGGUUGUCUACCCAAAGGAAAUUUCAAAAACCAGUUAUGAGAACCCAGCCCAGCUUUGAAUGGUGAAUAUUUAUUCUCCCUCCAAACCAGCCAAAAUUCCUCACUGUGAUAAAAUUUUCUGCUUAUGACAAUGUUACCAGAUUACCUAUUUGGAAUCCUUCUGUCAACUUCAAAACCAUCAGUUCCCCCCCUCAAACUCACACGGGACAGGACAGAGGAGGGAGAAAUUCCUACCUGAGCCACCUCCUGUCCCCUCUCAUUUUUCUCUCUCAGCAGCACCAGGACCCACUUCAACUCAGGAAGUUGCCUGGGAGCAGCAUGCCUCAGUCCUCAACUAUUUCUCAGGCCCAAGCUAGAUUGAACGGUGACUGCUUCACAUGUUGAAACACAGAACUACCCUGAUAAUGCAGAAAGGGGUGGAGUGGGUUGUGUGUCCAAUAUUAAAAGCAACCAACAUUACAAGCAA